rnacentral:rRNA from 1 species
AACGAACGCUGGCGGCAGGCCUAACACAUGCAAGUCGAGCGCGCCUUCGGGUGAGCGGCGGACGGGUUAGUAACGCGUGGGAACGUGCCCUUCUGUUGAGGAUAGCCCCGGGAAACUGGGAGUAAUACUCGAUACGCCCUUUGGGGGAAGGAAGGAUCGGCCCGCGUUAGAUUAGGUAGUUGGUGAGGUAACGGCUCACCAAGCCUACGAUCUAUAGCUGGUUUGAGAGGAUGAUCAGCAACACUGGGACUGAGACACGGCCCAGACUCCUACGGGAGGCAGCAGUGGGGAAUCUUGGACAAUGGGCGCAAGCCUGAUCCAGCCAUGCCGCGUGAGUGAUGAAGGCCUUAGGGUCGUAAAGCUCUUUCGCCAGGGAAGAUAAUGACGGUACCUGGUAAAGAACCCCGGCUAACUCCGUGCCCAGCAGCCGCGGUAA